GCCUGGCUGGCUCAGUCAGUAGAGUAUGUGACUUUUGAUCUCGGGGUCGUGAGUUCAAGCCCCACACUGGGCG